rnacentral:ncRNA from 1 species
AUGAAACCAGUGAUUGAGAGAAGUAGCGAAAGACAGAUGAAUUUCAGAGAGUCGCAAAAUGGUGUGAUUGCGGCAAACAGGUUUUUAGUGAAUGGACUCAUAAGGGCGGGAAGAACAGCAGAUGCUUAGUAAUACCCGACGGUGUAUCGAACCGUUAUAUUCGAUUGUGUAUGUCAGUACAUUAUGAGUGGAUGCAGUUGCAUCAAAAAAGGUGGUACCGCGAGUGAAUAUUUACCCGUCCUUAAU